rnacentral:rRNA from 1 species
AUCACUGGGCGUAAAGCGUCUGUAGGUGGUUUAGUAAGUCUAUUGUUAAAUCUUGAGGCUCAACUUCAAAUCAGCGAUGGAAACUGCUAGACUAGAGUGUGGUAGAGGUAAGAGGAAUUUCCAGUGGAGCGGUGAAAUGCGUAGAUAUUGGAAAGAACACCGAUGGCGAAGGCAUCUUACUGGGCCAUAACUGACACUCAGAGACGAAAGCUAGGGUAGCAAGUGGGAUUAGAUACCCCAGUAGUCCUAGCAGUAAACGAUGGAUACUAGAUGUUGCCCGUAUCAACCCGUGCAGUGUCAAAGCUAACGCGUUAAGUAUCCCGCCUGGGAAGUAUGCACGCAAGUGUGAAACUCAAAGGAAUUGACGGGGGCCCGCACAAGCGGUGGAGCAUGUGGUUUAAUUUGAUGCAACGCGAAGAACCUUACCAGGGUUUGACAUGACAUGAAUUUUUCUGAGAAGAAAAAGUGCCUUUUAGGAACAUGUACACAGGUGGUGCAUGGCUGUCGUCAGCUCGUGUCGUGAGAUGUUGGGUUAAGUCCCGCAACGAGCGCAACCCUUGUUUUUAGUUAUUUUUCUAGAAAGACUGCCGGUUAUAAGCCGGAGGAAGGCGGGGACGACGUCAAGUCAGCAUGCCCCUUAUACCCUGGGCUACACACGUGCUACAUUGGGUAAGACAAUGAGUCGCGAGCCUGUGAAGGUCAGCAAAUCUAUAAACUUACUCUAAGUUCGGAUUGUAGGCUGCAACUC